rnacentral:ncRNA from 1 species
GUUUCAGGGCGUGGUGAAAGUCCACACCGGCGGUGAGCGCAAUGCGUAAGUCCGCGAGCCACAUGGCUGAACCGGUGAGAUUCCGGUACCGACGGUAUAGUCCGGAUGAAAGAAA